CGGUAACCUUGAGACUUUUCAAAACUGAUGAUUUUUAUUGCAUCACGAAGUACGGAAAUUCCAAUCAGAUAUAAUUUUUGGUCGAGCUAUCCAUCCAGUUAUACCUUUAAAUGACUUUUUUAUACCCUUCUAUUCAAAUAAAAAAGAAAAUGAUUUCUA